AGCGAACAUUGGCGGUAGGCUUAACACAUGCAAGACGAGCGAGGCGUAAUAGUCGAGCGGCGAACGGGUGCGUAAUACAUGGGAAUCUACCUCGAAGUGGGGGAUAACGUCCAGAAAUGGACGCUAAUACCGCAUAAUCCAUAUUGGGAAAGCGUUGCUGCGCUUUGAGAUGAGCCCAUGGCUGAUUAGCUAGUUGGUGAGGUAAUGGCUCACCAAGGCGACGAUCAGUAGCUGGUCUGAGAGGAUGACCAGCCACACUGGAACUGAGACACGGUCCAGACUCCUACGGGAGGCAGCAGUGGGGAAUCUUGCGCAAUGGGGGCAACCCUGACGCAGCCAUACCGCGUGAGUGAUGAAGGUCUUCGGAUUGUAAAGCUCUUUCGGCGGGGACGACGAUGACGGUACCCGCAAAAGAAGUCACGGCUAACUUCGUGCCAGCCGCCGCAGUAA
rnacentral:rRNA from 1 species